rnacentral:rRNA from 1 species
GGACUACCAGGGUAUCUAAUCCUGUUCGCUCCCCACGCUUUCGCUCCUCAGCGUCAGUAAUGGCCCAGAGACCUGCCUUCGCCAUCGGUGUUCCUCCUGAUAUCUGCGCAUUCCACCGCUACACCAGGAAUUCCAGUCUCCCCUACCACACUCCAGCCUGCCCGUAUCAGAUGCAGGCCCGCAGUUGAGCCGCGGGUUUUCACAUCUGACGCAACAAGCCGCCUACGAGCUCUUUACGCCCAAUAAAUCCGGACAACGCUUGCACCCUACGUAUUACCGCGGCUGCUGGCAC